rnacentral:rRNA from 1 species
CCUACGGGAGGCAGCAGUGAGGAAUAUUGGUCAAUGGGCUUACGCCUGAACCAGCCAAGUCGCGUGAGGGAAGACUGCCCUAUGGGUUGUAAACCUCUUUUGUCAGGGAGCAAUUUGCGCUACGUGUAGCGUUAUCGAGUGUACCUGAAGAAAAAGCAUCCGCUAACUCCGUGACAGCAGCCGCGGUAAUAAGAAGGAUGCGAGCGUGAAUCGGAAUUACUGGGCGUAAAUCGCUCGUAGGGGGUAUGUCAAGUCAGGGGUGAAAUCCCCGCGCUCAACGUGGGAACUGCCUUUGAAACUGGCAAACUGGAGUGUGUGAGAGGAUAGUGGAAUUCCAGGUGUAGGAGUGAAAUCCGUAGAUAUCUGGAGGAACAUCAGUGGCGAAGGCGACUAUCUGGCACAUAACUGACGCUGAGGAGCGAAAGCGUGGGUAGCAAACAGGAUUAGAUACCCGAGUAGUC